rnacentral:rRNA from 1 species
GACGAACGCUGGCGGCGUGCCUAAUACAUGCCAGUUGAGCGAUGAAGAUUGGUGCUUGCACCAAUUUGAAGAGCAGCGAACGGGUGAGUAACGCGUGGGGAAUCUGCCUUUGAGCGGGGGACAACAUUUGGAAACGAAUGCUAAUACCGCAUAACAACUUUAAACAUAAGUUUUAAGUUUGAAAGAUGCAAUUGCAUCACUCAAAGAUGAUCCCGCGUUGUAUUAGCUAGUUGGUGAGGUAAAGGCUCACCAGGGCGAUGAUACAUAGCCGACCUGAGAGGGUGAUCGGCCACAUUGGGACUGAGACACGGCCCAAACUCCUACGGGAGGCAGCAGUAGGGAAUCUUCGGCAAUGGACGAAAGUCUGACCGAGCAACGCCGCGGGAGUGAAGAAGGUUUUCGGAUCGUAAAACUCUGUUGGUAGAGAAGAACGUUGGUGAGAGUGGAAAGCUCAUCAAGUGACGGUAACUACACAGAAAGGGACGGCUAACUACGUG